CCUACGGGAGGCUGCAGUAGGGAAUUUUCCACAAUGGGCGAAAGCCUGAUGGAGCAACGCCGCGUGGGUGAAGAAGGUCUUCGGAUCGUAAAACCCUGUUGUUAGAGAAGAAAGUGCGUGAGAGUAACUGUUCACGUUUCGACGGUAUCUAACAAGAAAGCCACGGCUAACUACGUGCCAGCAGCCGCGGUAAAACGUAGGUGGCAAGCGUUAUCCGGAUUUAUUGGGGUAAAGGGGUGCGUAGGCGGGCUGUUAAGUCAGCGGUAAAAGCGCGGGGCCCAACCCCGGCGAGCCGUUGAAACUGGCAGUCUUGAGAUGGCGAGAGGUAUGCGGAAUGCGCAGUGUAGCGGUGAAAUGCUUAGAUAUUGCGCAGAACUCCGAUUGCGAAGGCAGCAUACCGGCGGCGAUCUGACGCUGAGGCACGAAAGCGUGGGUAUCGAACAGGAUUAGAUACCCUUGUAGUC
rnacentral:rRNA from 1 species